rnacentral:lncRNA from 1 species
CUACAGACUUAAUGCAGGCAAGCAUGAUGACUCUACAAGCCGUGUGUUGAGGACAGCAGAACCAUAAGAUGGAAGGAGCCUUAAAUCAUUGCUCGUAGGAAAGCCACCUGCAAAUCAGGAACAGUCAUUUUGGACUUUACUUGGGGAAAAAAGAGACGUCUAAUAUGUUUGAGCCAUUAUUCUUCUUGGUUUGAUAAUUACUGCAGCCAGCAUUUCCUCAAUGAAUACAGACGUCUUUGACCAGGUCUUGGUGAACUGGUGAGGAGGCCCUCUGAGAAGAGAGUUUGUAUGCAGAUUUUGGCAGAAAGUUCUGUAAGAAAAAGAUGGUAGGAGAGGAGGACUAGAAGAAGAGCAGAAGUUCUCUUCGAUACCCAGACCCCAGCCCAACUCCACCCUUUGCAGAGAGGUGACGCUCUGUGGAGGAGUGGGGUUCUCCUCACUUCUGCGUGAACAGAGAGUCUUAGGCUGUCUGAAGAACCUCGGUGCCUUAGUGAUGGAUCCAAGCCAGAAUAUGACACGGCAUCUAGUCGUCACGUCUCCUGAUUUCCUCUGAUCUGUGUUCUCAGAAGUUCUUGUUUGCCAGGACCUUGACAGUUUUGAAGACUGCUAGUGAGAUAUGUUGCAGAGUAUCCUUCAGUUGGGAUCUACCCGACAUUUUCUUAUGAUUAAACUGGGUUACAAUUUUGGGGGGAGGAAAACCACAGAGAUGCAGAACAUUCUGCCUGCAUCACAUUGGGGCACGUGACGUGCUGAUGUGAGCACUAGGGGAAGGCAGCAUCUGUUGUCUUUCAGGUUCCCUUUCUGCCAGCUUACUGUGUCUCCCUUUCCUCACUCUAUCCUUUGGACGUGGGUCAUCAAGUCCAGCCCCACACUCUGGAAGAGAGGAACUAAUUCUGCCUCCAGGAGAGGGAACUAUCUACACAUAUUACUUGGAAUUAUUUUGUAAGGAAAAUUUGUCCUUUAUCCUUCAUUUGUUUAUUUAUUCCAUCAUUUGUAUAGAUCAAUAUGGACUUACAGGUAUUUAUUUGAUUCUUUGGGUUACAAUCCAAUACUAUUG